rnacentral:rRNA from 2 species
CGACGGGAGCUUGCUCCCUUAGGUCAGCGGCGGACGGGUGAGUAACACGUGGGUAACCUGCCUGUAAGACUGGGAUAACUCCGGGAAACCGGGGCUAAUACCGGAUGCUUGAUUGAACCGCAUGGUUCAAUCAUAAAAGGUGGCUUUUAGCUACCACUUACAGAUGGACCCGCGGCGCAUUAGCUAGUUGGUGAGGUAACGGCUCACCAAGGCGACGAUGCGUAGCCGACCUGAGAGGGUGAUCGGCCACACUGGGACUGAGACACGGCCCAGACUCCUACGGGAGGCAGCAGUAGGGAAUCUUCCGCAAUGGACGAAAGUCUGACGGAGCAACGCCGCGUGAGUGAUGAAGGUUUUCGGAUCGUAAAACUCUGUUGUUAGGGAAGAACAAGUACCGUUCGAAUAGGGCGGUACCUUGACGGUACCUAACCAGAAAGCCACGGCUAACUACGUGCCAGCAGCCGCGGUAAUACGUAGGUGGCAAGCGUUGUCCGGAAUUAUUGGGCGUAAAGCGCGCGCAGGCGGUUUCUUAAGUCUGAUGUGAAAGCCCCCGGCUCAACCGGGGAGGGUCAUUGGAAACUGGGGAACUUGAGUGCAGAAGAGGAGAGUGGAAUUCCACGUGUAGCGGUGAAAUGCGUAGAGAUGUGGAGGAACACCAGUGGCGAAGGCGACUCUCUGGUCUGUAACUGACGCUGAGGCGCGAAAGCGUGGGGAGCGAACAGGAUUAG